rnacentral:rRNA from 1 species
UUUCUAUGGAAGCUUGCUUCCACUGGAGAAGAGUAGUGGCGAACGGGGUGAGGUAACGACGUGGGUAACCGUGCCCACUAAGAAGGGGGAGUAACAUCCGGAAACGGGUAGCUAAUAACCGCAUAGUUUCUUGAUCGCAUGAGUUGAGAAAGGAAAGACGGCCUUUGUGCUGUCGCCUAUGGAUGGACCCGCGGCGUAUUAGUUAGUUGGUGAGGUAACGGCUCACCAAGACGAUGAUACGUAGCCGACCUGAGAGGGUGAUCGGCCACAUUGGGACUGGAGACACGGCCCAAACUCCUACGGGAGGCAGCAGUAGGGAAUCUUCCGCAAUGGACGAAAGUCUGACGGAGCAACGCCGCGUGAGUGAAGAAAGGUUUUCGGAUCGUAAAACUCUGUUGUCAGAGAAGAACAAGUUGGAGAGUAACUGCUCCAGCCUUGACGGUAUCUGACCAGAAAGCCACGGCUAACUACGUGCCAGCAGCGGC